rnacentral:rRNA from 1 species
CGGCUGGGCGGCAUGCCUAGCACAUGCAAGUCGAACGAGACCUUCGGGUCUAGUGGCGCACGGGUGCGUAACACGUGGGAAUUUGCCUCGGGGUAUGGAAUAACUCAGGGAAACUUGAGCUAAUACCAUAUAAUGUCUUCGGACCAAAGAUUUAUCGCCUUUAGAUGGGCCCGCGUUGGAUUAGCUAGUUGGUGGGGUAAAGGCCUACCAAGGCGACGAUCCAUAGCCGGUCUGAGAGGAUGAUCAGCCACACUGGGACUGAGACACGGCCCAGACUCCUACGGGAGGCAGCAGUGGGGAAUAUUGGACAAUGGGCGAAAGCCUGAUCCAGCAAUGCCGCGUGAGUGAUGAAGGCCUUAGGGUUGUAAAGCUCUUUUACCCGAGAUGAUAAUGACAGUAUCGGGAGAAUAAGCUCCGGCUAACUCCGUG